AGUUGUUAAUAGUGCCCCCCGCAGGCCCCCAGCUGAUGCACAUUGAUUGCCGUCUGGAUCAAUUUUUCUCUCGGCAUUCGGUCAGAAGAACGAAGCUUUGGUGCAAUCAAGAAAAAUGAAACUGUAAUUCAGUAUUCGGAUUGACCGAUCUAAUAGAAAUUGAACACCCGAAUCGGCCCUUGGAGCCAUUUCAACCAGAACACCAAAAAAAGUUUAAAUUCGAACUAAAAACUUGUUGGAUGUAGGUGUGGUCACUUUUGAGCUGCUUCCCUUCCUUUAUGUCUGCGAACACAAAAACCCGACAAAAACGACGAGAUAAAAAAGUCCUUGUACACUUAACUUUUUACCAAACAACGACUGUUUGCACAAGUUUUAAGAUAUGAUCCAUCCUCGCUAUCGUUCGGGAAACCAGUUUCACCUGAAAAUUUCCCCCGGUAAACAUAAUUGAAAAAGAAACGAGUUUUCCAUCAAAAUUAUAGUCGUGAAUCGUAAAGCCAUGACUAUGUAUGUCGAUACAUGUCCCAAGUAAAUUCGGGAAUAAUAAAACGAUUCGUUUUUUAAAAUAAGAAAACUUAACUUAAAAUUUCGGAAAAUGUAUUUCUUUGAGCUGUUGUUGAGGUAAGAUAGCUGUUUUAGGUCGCGGCGGUGCAUCUGUCAAAGGCUCUACUAAGAUGGAACGGAAUGCGGAUGAUGUGUUCCUCAGCAGCCAACCGUACGCAGAUGUGCUUUUCCCGAGAUGCUGUAUGUUACUCUAAAAGUAGCCCAAAUUGUCGUCGCAGUUGUACACGUGUGCAAGAGUUCCCCUUUUCGUUUCAUUAUUCCACGCGGUAGAAAGGGACGGUGUAUUUCCGAGAGACGUGACGUCGUUACUUCCGCUUAACAACUGCGGGGGGAUAUUUGGACUUACGUCAUUUCUAUAACACGUCUAUAGCCGUCUGGAACUCAUUUACAUAGGGGACCAUUUUUAGAUUUACGUUUCAUAUUCAGUCACAAUUUUUCCUUGUUAAACUGAAUUGGAGUUUCCUACUUAACCGGCUCGAAAGCGUUGUCAGUUUGUCAGUCAAGUUGACGGAUGCUGGCACUUGAAAGCGCACACCGAGAACAAUUUUUCCCCGUCGUCGAUAUGCAGAACUGAUGUGGACAAGAAUCGAGGUAACCGAGGCCAGCAGCGCACACCUGUACAGCGCUUAUAAUGGUCACGUAGUGCCACACCCAAAAGUUAUUUUAAAAAUGAAUAAAACAAAAUAAGGUCAGUUUUUUUUUAUACUAAAAUUGUUUAUUGGAUUUUAAAAAAAAUAUAUGUCACCAUGUUACACACAUCAUCAACCAUUUGCGGUUGUUUCGGGGGAAUAAAGAGUCGUUAAAAAAGAUGAUGUAAAUUGACACAAUUCUUUUUAUAUUGUACGGAUGACUUGAAUUUGUUCGUUGACUAAACAUUACAAGUCUCAAAGACUGAAGUUUUUAAAAAAAAUAAAGAAAAUGUACGAGUUCCCGUUGGAGACCACAGUUUGAAAAAAUUUGCUCAUACAUUCCAAGA